rnacentral:rRNA from 1 species
CAGCCGCCGCGGUAAUACGAAGGGUGCAAGCGUUAAUCGGAAUUACUGGGCGUAAAGCGUGCGUAGGCGGUGAGUUAAGUCUGCUGUGAAAUCCCCGGGCUCAACCUGGGAAUGGCAGUGGAUACUGGCUCGCUAGAGUGUGUCAGAGGAUGGUGGAAUUCCCGGUGCAGCGGUGAAAUGCGUAGAGAUCGGGAGGAACAUCAGUGGCGAAGGCGGCCAUCUGGGACAACACUGAUGCUGAGGCACGAAAGCGUGGGGAGCAAACAGGAUUAGAUACCCGGGUAGUCCCUGUCUCUUAUAC